AGGACCACGCUGCACAGGCCUGCGGCAGGUUCCGCUUGCCCAGAGCUUUGUGCCCAUGUGAAGGGAAAUGAGAUUUCAGGCUACAGCUGAGAGGUCGGAGGUGGAGAGAGCGCCAUGGGGGAGACUGAGCUGGUAGAAGACACUCAGGGAGUUUAACUCUCUCUGUGCCAGCAGUGGGGUGGUUGGUCUGGACAGGUUGAGGGGGCACCUGUGGGGAGGCUGUAGUCAGAGUCCAGGCAAGAGAGGCACGCAUCUACCCAGGAGCAGCAGCCGCCGUGAUUUCAGAAUCCAGCCCUUCCACAUGACUCCCAUCUAGUCAGUCACCAUUUCCUGCACAGUCUGCUUCCGAACGCUCCGGAAUUUAGUCCCUGCUGUCUAUUCCCACUGACGUGGUCCAGGUAUUCGUUACUCCUAUGUUCUCCUAAAGUGUGGUUCUGGUCUGGCUCUUUCCUGACUCCGUAGCGUCACUGCAUAGAGGUCACCCUCAGCACGGCAUGGCUGGCCCCCUCUCUGGCCUCCUUUCCAGCCACCCCCAUUUCAUGCCCUCCUCUUCUCAUGCCCUCCUCUU
rnacentral:lncRNA from 1 species